UACGAAGGGCGCAAGCGUUGUUCGGAAUCAUUGGGCGUAAAGCGCGCGCAGGCGGAAUUGUAAGUCAGAUGUGAAAUCUCGGGGCUCAACCUCGAACGUGCGUCUGAAACUGCAGUUCUUGAGUUACGGAGAGGGUAGGGGAAUUUCACGUGUAGGGGUAAAAUCCGUAGAGAUGUGAAGGAACACCGGUGGCGAAAGCGCCUACCUGGACGUAUACUGACGCUGAGGCGCGAAAGCGUGGGGAUCAAACAGG
rnacentral:rRNA from 1 species